rnacentral:lncRNA from 1 species
AAUUCAACAACUGUUUAUUCUAAUUAAGGCUCAUAAUUACCCUUUACACAAAAACCCUUAACAAAUCCCCGCGUCAAAUUCGGCAGCCCCAAAAUCCCUAAUUCCCCUGAAAAAAAAAUUCAUUCCGUGUUUUCAAAUUCAUUCCAUCUUUGGUUCAAUUUCGGCAACCCCAAAUUAUGAACAGACCCUAGGAACCACGACUUUUACUGGUCGAGAUCGUGAUCUAGGCCUUUAUUUGUUUUGUUGAUUUCGUCGACUCACCAAAAACACUAGACUUAUCAAAUUCGUCAUCGGAACUGUCAUUACUGUUUACGUUGAAGCAGUAAUCCUACUGCGCUUCACCGGCGCCGGUUGGUUUCUCCACCGACGAUAUCCGCAGAACAAUAAGGUUUGUGUGUGUUGCGUACAUAUAUCUAUAGUAAUAUAUUCUGUCAGUUAUCUUGAAUUAUUCAUACCUUAUUGUGUCUAUAAUAAUGUGUUAGCGACUGAAGUGACCAUUUAGAAGGACAGAUGUCAGCCCCAAAUUAUGACCCCAACAAAAUAUUUCCGUCUUGGUUCAAAUUCGUCAGCCCCAAAUUAUGAACAGACCCUAGGAACCACGGCGAUCAAAAAGUAUGACUUGAAGAGCUGUUGUUCGGAUUAAGUACCGAUUUUAAGUAAGUUUUCCUUUUGAAAUUGACUGCGUAAUAGAUAUCGUGAUAUAGGGCUUUGUUUGCUGAUUUUUUGGUUUCUUAGGUUUGGUUUUGUUUUGGUCUACGUUCAUCUUCUUCGGAUCUCAGAUUGUGUGAAAAUUUUAAUUUCUUUUCUUGGUUGACAAAGAAAUUGAGGACAGUGCUCUGUUUGAUUUUCGAUCCCCCAAAUUUCUGAUUAUGUAAUUUCUACUUUCAUUGUAUUCAACGAAGUUAACGAUUCCGGUCUGGUCAGUUGGGUCCAAAUACAAACCUUCCCAACAGCCUAGACAAAUAGAGGAAUAGUUAAAUUUUCUUUAAUAAAUAAAAAACAAAUAAUUUUGGACAUUGAAGCAACUGUAAAGCUGAAGAUAUGGAAGGAAACUAAAAGGUUGAUUCUUGUAUCUUGAAAUAGUUUAUGAUAGCUUAAAACAGAGACAAGUGAAAACAAAUAGACAUUCUUUACUGUUUGUUUACUCAAUUACUAUCUUUUUUAAAUAAUAAUAAUAAUAAUAAUAAUAAUAAUAAUAAUAAUAAUAAUAAUAAUAAUAAUAAAGAUUAUCAAUUAGCUAAGUAAGCAUCCAAUCCUGUGAUCAACAAGUGAGACUCAAGAAAUUAAAUGAGUCAUUGUGAUAGGAAAUUGCUUAAAGGAGUAUAUUGCCUGGGUAAUAUGUUGACACUUGCUUUGUGUUGUUGGUUGGUUUGUUUAUCUGUUUUGAGUGGAUAUAUGCAGACAAACAAUAUAUGUCACCACAUAUGUCAAUUUUAAGAUCCCCAACAAUUUAUAAAGUGUAUACUUAUAAUAAUACAAUUAUUAGAGGAGUUGUUAUAUAUUUUUUUCUUUUAAUAUUUUGAAUAAGAUUGAAACUACCAGGAUGGUCUCCGCACCAUUACUACUAAUUAACUAAUUGAUCAAGUCAGAUCCAUGAACUUGAUAUAGUUGUCACCAUUGUUUAUUAAUUGCAGGUUGUAUUUUUUUUUAAAAUAAAAUAAAUAAUGGUCUAUCAAGCUAAACUUGAUAUUUUAAUAGGUUGGUUAUAUGAUAACAAGUAGCUGUAGCGUGUAGGAGGGAAUCCGAAACCUAUGACAUUUAAAUCUGGCCGCAUGAUGUUAGUAUGAAUAUCCAAAUAAUAGCCAACCUUAGAAACACCUUUUCCAAUGUAGUCUGAUCCUCCAUCUCUUAGUUCCAGAGUUUCAUAAAUUCCUGAAAGAAGAGACAUGUACAAAAGAACAGAGAAACACACUGGUAAAGAUGAUAAGAAUAGCAAAUGUAAACUUUUAUGUAGAUGAAUUUAGGGACUCUAUUUUUUCUUUUUUUAUCUCAUUUUAAUCAUUUAGAUGUCUAAUGUUGUAAUUUAAUGUUGUAUGAGAUUAGUUUUGAUUCUGCAAGUUCGCCAACUAAAGUACAUAAAUCCUGGUCUGGUCUUUGUUCAAUGGGGGGUAGAGACUCUUUCUAAUUGAUUUUGGAAGUAUAUUGCUACUGUUUUUUUUACUGUUUUAUUUGAUGCUUCUUUGCCUCUUUCUCAUAUGGGUCAGUUAACAAAUUGAUAGAAAAGGUAGUCACCUAAAUAAAUUCAUGGACAACAAGAGGAAGCUUUAUAGGAUAUACCUGGUAAGGAUUCCAACCAGGCAAGGGAACCAACCCCUGGGGAAGCAGUACUGAACCAAAUGUCCCUGGCAUAUAUGAACCUGGAAGAAGAGCGGACCUUGAGACACCACUUGGUUGUGGAUGGUGAAAUUUGCAGCUUGUGCCAAACUUGCAGUGCCCUGUUUUUAUAAAGUAGAAACACUCUUUUUCACCCUGUCACAAGAAUUACAAUUACAAUUAAAAUCAUAUUCCUGUCCUAAUCAAGUAGUUGUUCUCAUGGGUUGGUAUUACAUAUAUUAUAUAAUGUAUUGUUUGUAGAAAUUUUCAAGCCAAAAUUUAUUUUUGGAUGAAUGUAUAUACUAAAUCACAGUACAUGACACAAUAAUUUGACAUCUGUCCUUUUAUAAAUUUAACACCUGUCCAUCCUAUUUAAUGCUCCUUAUUACCCUUACAAAAAAACCCAUGACCCCGCGUCUAAAAAACAACUGAGGUUGUAAAAAACCUAAAUACAAACCCCUAAUUCCCCUUGGUUCAAAUUAAUUUCGUGUCUUGGUUCAAAUUCGUCAGCCCCAAAUUAUGAAUAGACCCUAAGAACCACGACGAGCAAAAAAGUAUCGAUUUGUGACGAAACAACAAACCUCUAGAGAUUUUAUUAGUUGAAGAGUUGUUCGGAUUGAGUACCGAUUUUCAAGUAAGUUUUCCUUUUGAAAUUGAGUGCAUGAUCGAGAUCGUGAUAUAGGGCUUUAUUUGCUGAUUUUAUGGUUUCUUCGGUUUUGUUUUGUUUUGGUUUACGUUCAUCUUCUUCGGAUCUCAGACUGUGAAUUUUUUAAUUUCUUUUCUUGGUUGUCUUAGAAAUCAGUCUGGAUAGUUAUGAAAAAAUUGUGGAUAACUGUGUCUAAUUGAGGACAGUGCUCGGGUUGAUUUUUGAUCCCCAAAAUGGAAGAAAUCUCUAUUUGAAAUUUCACUCUGAUUUCCCCCAAAUGGGAUGAAAAUGAGAUUCCUUUUAUUUCAGCAAUCCGUUCAGCUCUUACAGCUCUUACCAUCUGUAUUAUGUUGUAGCAUUUUGGCCACUUUGGUAUAUUUGAAAGUAUCAUUGUCACGACGUGAGUUGGGCAGAGACAAAUUAGAUAAAGGUUGGAUUGAUCAACAUUGCUUAUAACCUUUUCCCUUCUCCUAAUAUUUAGUUUAUAUUCUAUUUGUUACUUGUAUAUUUUAAUAUUUAUGGCUAUCAUUUAUGUUGCAUUGAUGUGUUUAACAGUUUGAGUAGAAUCAGUGGGAUUUCGUUUACAACUUCAAUUGUCAUUGAUGUGAAAGUGGUAGUAUCUUUAUAUAUAUAUAUCAUAUUAUAAGCUAUGACACCUGAAACUAUGAACCUUUUGCUUUCAGAUAAAGGCCAUGAAGGAUAUGUAUUUACUAGAAUUAACUGAAAUGUACCAAAAAAUUGAUGCUAAAUUGCAUCAGGUAAUUUACUGUCCACCUUUGAUUUUUAUCAUGUCAUGUCAAUUAAAAAAAACUUUACUAUCACAGGAACAGUGGGGUUUUAUUCUUUUGUUGAGUAGUGGGUAAGAUCUGGGAUACUCAUAUUACUUCCUAUGUCAUUAACAAUUUUAUAUUUGUGCUAACAUGCUUUGCUCAAUCAGUCCAGUUGUGUACAAGGAAGAGUUCGCUUUAUGUGAGAUAGUGAAAUAGAGACUGCGAAACACAGAUGAUUACCAGGCAUUUUUGAAGUGUCUUCAUAUUUAUAGCACUGAAAUAAUUAAAAGAAAGGAAUUACAAAGUUUGUUAUGUAUCAAGUUGAUCAUGCCAAGUGUUGCUUAUUUUUUUGCUACUUAUUUAGAUGCUUAUUGUAGAAGUCAUUACAAUUUGACUGUUUUGAGUGGCUCUUUCCAAUCACUAUGUAAAGUCUUUGUUCAGAACUUGGUUACUUAUUUAGAUUCUGAACCAACUAUUUGAAUACACAGAAGUAGAGGAGGAAAAAGGAUUCUUUUCAUGCAAGAGGAACCUAACUAUGAUUAUAGAGAAAUGAUUCCUAUAUUAAUUUGGACUCGUAGUUUGAGGCAAAUUCUAUUCAAUUCUAUACUAUUUUGUCUCAAGUAAACCCUUCAUAAUUAUACUUUGACCACAACUUGGCUUCUCUUCAUUUGUAUCUCGGGGGCUCGGGGCUAAAGGAUAAUUUAUGGAUUAAGCAUUAAACAACAGAUGUAGCUAUUUUUAUCGUAUUGUGUUGCUCGAUUCUAGGAUUUGUCUACUUCCAAAUUCCAAUAUUUUAUUGUCCUAUAUCUCUGUCUUAUGUUAAUUGCUAUGUUUCUCAACACUUUUUCCCCAUUAGUUGCUUCAACAUUGUUCAAGCAGUUCUCUUUUUUAGUAGUGUAGCUUACGCUUAAUGUCAAUGCACCAUGUAUUAAAUUGCUGACGCAAAGUCAUUCUUAUGACGUUUAAAUAUUGGCAUGUCUUAGAUCUAUGAGAAAGUGAAGGAGUUACAGUCUCUGUCAAAAUUUGACUGCAACAAGAACUUGAAGCAAGAAUUGACAGACAUAUCCAGGUGAUUUGUGCUUUCUAUUUUACUUUGUGGUGAAAUAUUUAUUAUGGUAUGUGUUCUAUUGAGGUUGGAUUCAGAAGCAGUGACUGACGUAGUCAUGACCAAGGAUGUUAUUGUAAUUAACGUAGUCAUGACCAUAUUUUCUGGACAGAGUUGUUAUAAUAUUGAAUGUGAUUAAGAAAAUUGUGAUAUAGGUCAUUAUUCUAGGAGCGUACAUUAGUUUUGUCUUAUUGGGAGGAAACAAAAACAAACAAUUAACAUUACCAUUAAACAAGUGAGAGCCUCACUAACUUUUGCUUUAAAAUGACCUUGUGAGGUCAGUGUUUUUUCUAUUUUUAUUCAUUAUGAUUUAUAGUUUGUCAAUAUACAAGUCAUUAGUCAUCAUUAUANNNNNNNNNNNNNNNNNNNNNNNNNNNNNNNNNNNNNNNNNNNNNNNNNNNNNNNNNNNNNNNNNNNNNNNNNNNNNNNNNNNNNNNNNNNNNNNNNNNNAUUAUAGUUUUGAUUCUAACAAUUAUAUAUGUGAGGCCUUGAUGCCAUUAGUGAGGUCAUUCUGCAAGAACUUAAAUUUGGAGCAAUCAGUUGCAUAACAAAAUAUCAGAGCUUUGAUUUUUGCACUUUUUUGAGUCCAAGUCUCUGUCACUCUAUCUGCAUUUGGUUCCCACUUCUGUUUGUGCACAUUAGUUUUUUUUAUUUUUAUCUACUUUGGAUGAAGUUGGUCCUAUCUGCUUGCUUAGUGAGUACGGUCACAUGUGAAUGGGUUUUAAAAUGCAAUGUUGGGUGCAUUCACUACAUCCCCCCCCCUGCCCAAUCACCCCCUUUCUGAUAAGUAACUAUUAUAUAUAAGGUUAUGGCUUUGAAGAAAUUUAUUUCACAUGCUUACAUUAGGUCAUUUAUUAGAUAGUUUUUUGACAUUUUGAAUAGUUAUGUGAUUGAUGUUUACUGCAUUAUUUACAAGGGAAUGGUUAGAGGUAUAUAUUUUCAAGCUAUUGUGCCAUGUACAGCGUUUCAUACACACAUUACUCAAAAUUACCUCACAAAAUGGCACUGCUAAUUUGAACACUGACUUUGUUUUCAGGUCAUUGCAAUUGAAGGUUGUUUCUCUUGAAUGAAGGUUCUAAGCUUGUAGUUUACCUAGAUAUUUUGCUAUAUGCUUGGGCUGAAUAGUUUGAGCAUUGACUUUUUAAUUGUAUUUUUAAGAGUUUUAAACCUUCGCAUACCCUUUUAUUCUCUUUUUGUUAUGGAUUGUAAAAAGUUAAGUUGAGGCAGCCCUUUCUUUACAGUAAACAAAUUACAAAUGUAGUAAAGGACGGGGAAAAUAAAUUAGUUGGCUACACUUUGGUCAAGAAAAAUUGAAAAAAAAAGAAAAGAAAAAGGGAAGAGUAGAAAAAAUGAUUUGUCCACAAGUUGAGGUCACUUAUUUUGCCACUAGCCUAAAAGUACUUAGAGUGUAAUGUACAGAAAUGUAAACUCUCAUCACUACCCCUUACAAUGUAUAUUUAUUUGUUUUUUUGUUUAAAAUUUGAUUAUCGCACAACAAUUUACUCUUUUUAUUAUAUUUUAAUUUAUUAAUUAUACGUACACAUUUAUUAUUCAAAAAUUGAAUAAUCCCGCUGCAACGCGCGAGUUUGUAUCUAGUUAUAUAUACUAAAUCACUGACACAAUAAUUUGAUAUAUGUCCUUCUAUAAAUUUAACACCUGUCCAUCCUAUUGAAUGCUCCUUAUUAUGAC